rnacentral:misc_RNA from 1 species
UUUUGUAGACUUAUUAGCGACAUCUGAUACAAAAGCUGUAUAUUUGUUUUUGUUUGUGACACGCCCACAACACAAAAAAUGGCGAUGCUUGAUAUACGCUUGAAAAGAGUUAGUAAAAUCUACAAAGAAGGGGAUGUAGUAUCCGGACUGGUGGUGGUGCAAAGUAAAGGAGAAGUUCAGCAUCAGGGUAUCAGCUUAGUUGUUGAGGGAAUAGUAAAUCUACAGCUGAGCGCAAAGAGUGUUGGUGUUUUUGAAGCUUUCUACAAUUCCAUCAAGCCAAUUCAGGUACUGCAUUACCCCUUAGAAAUUGCCAAGCCAGGACGCCUUCCCUCAGGCAAAACAGAGAUUCCUUUUGAAAUUCCUCUCAAACCAAAGCCAGGAAAGACAUUAUAUGAAACCUACCAUGGUGUCUUUGUUAAUAUACAGUACCUUAUAAGAGUAGAUAUGAAACGAUCACUUUUGAACAAAGACCUGCAGAAACAGUGUGAGUUCAUCAUUGAAUAUAAGGACCAAGAAGAAAGAGCCAAAGCAAAACCAGUUAGCUUCACCAUAUCUCCUGAGACUCUUGUAAAUGUCAAGGAGAAACAGAAUAUCCCCAGGUUUAAAGUCAAGGGAAAGUUGGAAUCAUCAUGCAUACAGAUCACUAAACCUUUAAAAGGGGAGCUUACAGUUGAGCAAUGUGAUGCACCUAUCAAGUCGAUAGAGAUUCAGCUUGUGAGAGUUGAGACUUGUGGCUGUGCUGAGGGCUACGCAAAAGAUGAGACCCUAAAGCCUAAAGGAAAGGACAGCCUACUCUAUGUCCACACAUCUCGCGUCUGCUGUGUAUAAGCUUCACUUAUUGACAGGCAGCUUAGGAUUGCUUUGUUUUGUAUCUGCAAGCAUCUUGGAAUCCUUUAUUAUUGAAGAAAUCCUCUUAGUAAGUAUGUUUUGAUAUAUAUAUUUUAUAAUAUAUGAAUUAUACUGUAAAAUAUCUACACUCAAACAGCAUUUUAUUGUUGUAUUUUUAUUUAUUUUAGAGUCAAGAAGAUGGUUUUGUCAGCAAGUCCUCUCUCUCCAGGUCUGCCUGGAGAUCUUGGAAGAGUCUUGUAGUCCUUUGCUGUCAGAUGACUACAUUUUAGACAACGUAAAGGAGAUAAUCACUAAUAUUGAUGAGACUUCGUUGAUCAGCCAUUCAUUUAGCUGGAAGCACAUCACACCACAGCAUUGUACUGAGACGAAUUUCAUCAAUUGUGAAUCCCAGCUUUAAAAAAUGUUGAAUGUGCUUUUUAAAUCCACAUUAUUUUUGAUUUAUCGUCAUGAAAUAACCUGCCCCUGUUUUUCCUAUAGAUGUCACUUCUUCGGUAGUCAUUUAACUGUGUCUGCAAUAUUACGGCGCCCAGGAAUAGCGACUUUCUUCCAAAACCGAGACUGGGAUGAGUGAUCAAAGUGACAAAUGGCUGUUUACUACUUCGACAGUCCUUAGUUUACCAUAGUCGGCAGCACACAUGCAGCGAGCAUAUUAUACUGGGACAAACUCCUAAGAUGUCUCAUGGGCAGUAAAAUUAACUUUAAGAUAUAUAUACAUGUAUUUUGUUGCUAUAUUGAAAGUAUGUGGCAUGAAAUGCUCAUAAAUGAUAAAUGUAGUUUAAAAGAUAACUGUCAUCGGGUUCUUAUGCAAUUAUAUUGUUAGUGUGACAUCCAGGCAUCCGAUGGGUAUCAUGUGAGGACAAAAAAGUUUAAUUACUCAGUACUGCUAUCAAAGAAAACCCACUGCACUUGUUCAUUAAUACUGUUUAUUCAUAGUUUCAAAAUGAAAUACUUAGAAGCAGCCUAUUUCAUUGGAAGGACAUUUAAUGAAGAAUUUUUUUUUCUGUCCCAACGACAACCAUCAGGUACCAAAAUUUAUAUUUUUCUCUCAAGUCCUCCACUCUGCUGCCAACACCAUAAAGACAACAGACUCCAGCACAGUAUAGCACUACUUAUGUUGUGUGCUUUUCACAUAAUUAACACUGUUGUGUUAUAUUACAAAAAGAAAAAAAAUUGUUCUGUCCCAUGACUCCCUUUGGGCUUAAUUAUCUGAAAAGUUUACACAACUAAAAUACUCUACUGUGUGUGUUAAUGUAUGGAUGGGGUUGUCACAAUCCUAUGGGAUCUAGGUACAUGUGAUAAAUGGAGACUUGUAGUUAAGCCUUAACGUCUCCGCCAUCCACUCCGACAUAAUCUUGUAUAUAUAAUGGGACACCCUAGACAACUAGGGAUAAGGAAUUUGUUCAUUCAUAGGUUCAUUUUUUCCUUUCAUUUAUAUUCUACAUAAGCUCUUGGCAUUUUUACUAUUCUUAAUAAUUACUUUGUUUACACUAAACUGUAUUGUGUUGUUAUUGUGGAAUGUGCUGGGGGAUUGAGUCAUUAAUUAAUGUCAAUUAGCAAUUAGUGGAAGUGUAUCGCGUAUACUAUGUGAUUAAUAGUUUGAUUAUUUUUACAACUAUGAAUCUUUUGAUCUGGCACAGCAAUGAUUACAACCACUGGAAAGUCAAAUUAUUCUAAAAUGUAAUUUCUCUCACCUGGUUAUAUCUUCAGCGUAUCACUCUGGUUUGAAAUGUUUGGGGCAAAUUGUCACUCUUUCAAGAUAGAAUCACAAUGAUUCAAAGCUCUCACAAGAUUUUGUUUUCCCCGUCCUGAUUAUCUAGUUUUUGUAUGCGGAAAAAUAAUAAACCGUUUUGUCGACUUUUCCAUGUAGGGCAUCCUGGAAUCGCACAGCUAGUGGCUGACAUCUAAAAAAAAAAUAACAACAUUAGCUCUGCAACGCACUGUGUAAAGCGAAACUGGAAAAGCCAAAGCAAUAACUUAGUCCAGCACAUGCACGAUUUUGGGUAUAGUUUACGCCACAUGGUGUAGUUUUUACAAAGGCAUUAGAAAACAUAGCUGAAAAGCUAAAGCCCCUGUGGUACAUUGGUAAUACUUCACCCAACCUGUUUUUCAAACUUUUUGAUGCCCAAACUCAACCAAUGCUUUGAUAUGGCUUUGAAAUAUGAUGGGGUCUUUGUGCAAUAAUGAUACUAAUGAGAAGGUUCACACCUUUCCAAUGAAACGAUUUAUUUAGGAGUCACAACAAGAACACCUAUCUUGCAGGAAUGUGGUUGAUUCUCUUUGUCAGUUAUUGCAUCAGUGCCGUGUAUUGGAGAUUGAGUCCAUCUGCUAGAAAUGCCACAAGGUAGACUCCAGAGGAAAAACUAUUUAAUGCUAUCACUUCUACACAAAACAAGAAAACAUGAUUACAUGAUAUUGUUUUAUAAAUGUCGUUUUGGUGUGGUAAAAGAAUAUCAAGGUGCUGGAGAUACACUUUUUUUAAUACACCCUUAAACAGAGACUGGUAGACUGUCACCACCACCAGUGCCAUGCUGUUCAAAGCAGUUCACGAUGAUGCAUUCCAUACAUAUUUGAAGCAACUGUGUCUUUGUGUCUGAAAGACAGAGGUAUUAAAGAUACUUAGAUAAAAUUUAUAAUGGGUAUAACUUUACUUAAAUGCCAUCAGCAGCAUUACUUCUUAACUCAGAAUAUUUGAACUUCACCUAUUGUCCUGAUACAACUAAAACUGAGCAGCAGCUUUUGCUGAAAAUGCUUUAAGUGCCCCUCCCUUUUUUUAUUUCACUCUUGAUGUCAGAUAUCAGAAUGCUAAUUACAUUACUGAUUGCCCCUUUUCUAUUUACAAUGCAUUGGAAAUAAAAAGUUAUGUUGUCGGUUUGUGUCCUUCACACUUAAGAUUGUUCAUAUAGAAAUGCUAAUGUGUUGAUUACAUGAUGCACUAUGAUAAAUAUUAGUGUUUUUACCUUAGUGCUUACAUGACUGUAUAGUGUUGAAUGGCUUAAUGCAUAUUCUUAUGCAUAUGCUUGUGUCUGUACAUGUUUGGGCUUACAUAUAUAAUUACAUUGACUAUUAACUUGACAUAUAUCUAUGUAUAUGUGCAUAUGCAUGAUUGUAAUGGUUUGAUGGAUGUCUAUAUUUAUGCUACUAGAUUUCAGAUUUGAAUAUAGAAUAAACAUGUAUGAAAAACUAUAUAAGUUUGUUGGUUUUUUAAAAUUAAAUUUCUGUAAACUUUGCUGGUAAAGAUAUUUUCACCUUGACAGCACUUUGUGAGAGAAAAUAAUAAUAAUAAUUAUUAUAUGUUGAAUUUGUGUAAUGCUUUUUUCCCCACCAAAUAUAGGCAGGCUCAAAGUGCAUACUAAAAAGAAAAAUGCAAAAUACUUUUCAAAAUAAAGAAAUACAUUUAGGUCAUGAAGUUUGUCGUAACAAAUAAUCUACUUUAUAUCAUUCUCACUUUUGUAGUACAGAAAAUAAAAGUGUUGCAUCAUAACAUCUGUAAGUCAAAUAACCCGUUGUUUGCUUUCACUAAAAUAUACACAUAGCUCAAAUUUUAAAUAUAUAAUCAUAAAACAAAUGUUUAUUUUAUGCAUGGUAAAAUGGUACAAGAAGAGUAUUGUACAUAGAAUUGUGUUCUCUAUAUAUCGCAAAAAGGGGCAAGUCCUGAGUGGCUAAGGUUAGCCUUUUAUUUAUAAUGAGAUUAAGACCAAAUAAACCUUCAUCAUUAAAACAAGCUGAUCGGAACCCCUUCUAUAAACACUAAGCAACAAACAAUAUGGAGGAAUAAGUGAUACACAGCUUAAACUAGUUGUAUAACGGAAGAAGUUGCAUGAAUCUCGCACUUAUAGUAACGUAUACAUAAAAAGUAUGCUUAAAAGUUUCUCGUAUCUAAAUACUUAACACUGCAGGUUUGAUCUGAUUUUAAUAAUCUUACAAAUUUCAGAGCAGUCAGCUGCACUGACCUUUUAGUGCAAAUGUUUGGUACACUCUGAUUGGCUAAAAUUCCUCCGAUCCUAUUCAAGGUGGGGGGGAAAAGUUCCCCUAAAAGGGAUGAUUCCACGACAUUGUAAAAAUGGUUCUUCUAUGGUAAACGCAAGAAAGAUCAAUCAGUAAUCCAAAGUAGCGAUGACUAGAAAAGCCAUUAUGAUGUUACAAAAGACGAUGGAAAAGCUGAAAAGUCAUAGAUUGAAAGUUAUCGUUUUUCUGGUGGAGUACAUCUGUAGAGAUUGUGAUCCCUUACAGCAGUGGUUCUCAAAGUAUUUCGGACCACAGACCACUUUACAUAAGUAAAAAUUAUGGCGGACCGCACUUUGAGAACCACUGCCUUAAUGGUUUGUGUGUGGCGAACAGAUCAAUCAAUACUUAGGCCGAGUGUAGGUUAUAUAAUCAAGAGACUGCUAGGAUCUGUGUGGUCAUAAGAUGGAGAAACCCAGCAGUUAAAACAUGAUUGAUACUGAUGGAAAGUCAAUAGUAGUGACUGUAGUGACAACUUGAAACUCUUAUGGCAUUAGGGAGAAGAGACCGGUAGGAGACACAAAAUCAGGAUGACCUGGAUGAAAAAUAAAAAGUUACAGUUCCGCACAUUGACAAUGAAAAAAAGCACUUGCUGAUAGUGAUCAUCAAGAUAACAAACAAAUCAAGCAGAAAUACAUAAAAUGUGGAGAGCUGCCCCCUCGAACAUGUUAGGCAAAGGGACCCCACUCCCAGCAAUUACCACACCUAAAGAAGCUUUCUAGCCCUAUUUUGGCUUAUGCUGUAUCUUCAAGAGCACGAGUUAAGAUUGAAAAAAAUUACUUCAGGAUAUUUGUACAUUCUGAUAACUUCAUUCACUUCCAAGUUGCCAUUUUCUCUUUCUCGCCUACUUUAAAACAGGAGAGUUUUCUAAGGUAACUCUUCUGCUUAA